rnacentral:rRNA from 1 species
GACGAACGCUGGCAGCGUGCCUAAUACAUGCAAGUCGAGCGCAGGAAACCAGAUGACCCCUUCGGGGUGAUUCUGGUGGAAUGAGCGGCGGACGGGUGAGUAACACGUGGGCAACCUGCCUGUAAGACUGGGAUAACUUCGGGAAACCGGAGCUAAUACCGGAUAGUAUUUCCUUUCUCCUGAUUGGAAAUGGAAAGACGGUUUCGGCUGUCACUUACAGAUGGGCCCGCGGUGCAUUAGCUAGUUGGUGGGGUAAUGGCCCACCAAGGCGACGAUGCAUAGCCGACCUGAGAGGGUGAUCGGCCACACUGGGACUGAGACACGGCCCAGACUCCUACGGGAGGCAGCAGUAGGGAAUCUUCCGCAAUGGACGAAAGUCUGACGGAGCAACGCCGCGUGAGCGAUGAAGGCCUUCGGAUCGUAAAGCUCUGUUGUUAGGGAAGAACAAGUACGAGAGUAACUGCUCGUACCUUGACGGUACCUAACCAGAAAGCCCCGGCUAACUACGUGCCAGCAGCCGCAGUAA